UACGUAGGGUGCGAGCGUUGUCCGGAAUUAUUGGGCGUAAAGAGCUCGUAGGCGGUGUGUCGCGUCGGCCGUGAAAACCUGGGGCUCAACUCUGGGCGUGCGGUCGAUACGGGCAUCACUUGAGUUCGGCAGGGGAGACUGGAAUUCCUGGUGUAGCGGUGGAAUGCGCAGAUAUCAGGAGGAACACCGGUGGCGAAGGCGGGUCUCUGGGCAGUAACUGACGCUGAGGAGCGAAAGCGUGGGGAGCGAACAGG
rnacentral:rRNA from 1 species